AUUGAACGCUGGCGGCAGGCCUAACACAUGCAAGUCGAGCGGAGCGGCGGACGGGCGAGUAAUGCCUAGGUAUCUGCCCGGUAGUGGGGGAUAACGUCAGGAAACGGGCGCUAAUCCCGCAUACUAUUAGAUGAGCCUAGGUCGGAUUAGUUAGUUGGUGGGGCAAAGGCGUACCAAGGCGACGAUCCGUAGCUGAUCUGAGAGGAUGAUCAGUCACACUGGAACUGAGACACGGUCCAGACUCCUACGGGAGGCAGCAGUGGGGAAUAUUCGACAAUGGGCGAAAGCCUGAUCGAGCCAUGCCGCGUGUGUGAAGAAGGUCUUCGGAUUGUAAAGCUCUUUUAGUUGGGAAGCGGUACCUAAAGAGUAAGCACCGGCUAACUACGUGCCAGCAGCCGCGGUAAUAC
rnacentral:rRNA from 1 species